rnacentral:rRNA from 1 species
AACGAACGCUGGCGGCAUGCCUAACACAUGCAAGUCGAACGAGAUCUUCGGGUCUAGUGUCGCACGGGUGCGUAACGCGUGGGAAUCUGCCCUCAGGUUCGGAAUAACCAUUGGAAACGAUGGCCAAUACCGGAUGAUGACGUUAAGUCCAAAGAUUUAUCGCCUGAGGAUGAGCACGCGUAGGAUUAGCUUGUUGGUGUGGUAAAGGCGCACCAAGGCGACGAUCCUUAGCUGGUCAGAGAGGAUGAUCAGCCACACUGGGACGGAGACACGGCCCAGACUCCUGCGGGAUGCGGCAGUGGGGAAUAUUGGACAGCCGGCGAAAGCCUGAUCCAGCAAUGCCGCGUGAGUGAUGAAGUCCGGAGAGUUGUAAAGCUCUUUUACCCGGGAUGAUAAUGACAGUACCGGGAGAAUAAGCUCCGGCUAACUCCGUG